UGUGAAAUUAGGGGGGGGGGGGUCUCAGAAGGAAGAACGCCGCAGCGAACGAACAGAGCCAGAGAGAGAGAGAGAGAGAGAGAGUGAGAGUGAGCAGUGAGCUAUGGCUGAUUUCGACAUAGUUGAGCUUCGGAAACGAUAUGAACUGGUCUGUCAGAGUUUCCCCUCCAUUCCUUCUGACCUCAAACGCGAAUACGAAGAGGUAGAAGGUUUCGUCCAAAAAUGUCUGGAGUUGAAGGAGGAACGUUUCACCUAUAGCUGAGGGAUCUAUUAAACAAUACUGCUACGAUUAUGGGCGGUCUAGCAUAUAAUAUUAUAGAAGAGGCUACAUUCAAAAGUGCUACUUUGAUUGGUCUCAAUGCUGAGCUCGAUCCUUUCAAGACUCGUUUAUCUACCUGUGCAUCUGCAGUCCGAGAAUUUGAACACUCACGAGUGCUUCUCACUGAUGAUCGAGUUGCUCAUCUCAAAGCUCAUGUGGAAGAGAAGUAUGCUUUGUAUCGUGAUUGGUACGAUCAAGAUGCCCCGUUGAGGAAACUAAAACGAGAUAUGUUGAGGCUGCAACACCCUUUUCGCCAACAGCUGGAUUCGCUCCAUCAGAAAAUCUCCAACAACUCUUCAGUCAAAAUCCAAAUUAACCAACUUGUGGAUCAAAUGAGUAAACACAUGGAAACGUGGCCGACCGAGAAACACGUAAAAGACGUAGUGGAGGAUUUGAAAACCAAAGUCAAAGGAUAUGAUUACGUUUCUCAAUCAUUACAUACAGAUAAGAAUCGUCUCAUCGAGCUCCAAGAAUCUCUUGAGAGGUUAAUAACGGAUGUGAUCGGGUUGAUAGAUAGAUUACUGGACAUUAAAAAGGAAUACGAUGUCAAGCUUUUCAGGAUUUAUACCAUCAGAAAAGAAGACUUCCAUGAACUAGACGCUUACCUCUUUGGUCCUAGGGCACCUAAGUCACCUCAAUCCUCGAAAUUCUUUCUUCAAGUGACAAAAUUUGUCCCGAUCAACAAGCUUGUACUUCUCCUAGCUGCAAAACCUAUCUCGGAUAUCACCAUUGUAGAAUGCCGAGAUCACAUCCAGUUUGCAUAUUUAAAAACCGCUGAGGAAGGAGACAUACUGGUGACAGAAGAUGAAUGGGUAAAACUCAUGGGACCCGUGAAAAACCAACUAGAACACGAUAUUUGCUGGGCAUUUGUCACCGCGGAGCUAGUGAGCGCCGUCAGAGUCAGACACAUCUAUAAAUAUGACCCCACCGUUGUGGAAUACUCCUGUCGGGACCUUGUCGAUUUCGUAGAUCAUCAGAAACGUUCCGAAGAGAAGACGAAGGAGAAGUCGGGCAACAAACACUUUUGCUAUGCGCACGGAUUACGCGAAGGCUUUGAGUACGUCAAAGUUAAUGGCAUCCUAAGGGAAGAAUCCCGUCCGUUUGAAGCCAACUGUAGAGAAGAAGUACUUACACGCCAUGGGUCUAACCUCGGCUACAUUGGAGAGGUAGUCUCCUUGACUACUGUCAAAGAAGUUCUUCAGACGCUUCAAAACCACCCUGUUGCUGGAUGCAUUCCCGUCUUUGAACCAGACUACAGCUCUAUUAAUGAUCAACUGUACUACGGCCCUACAUCUCCACUCUCACGUUACGAAACCAUGCAUGCGAUCAGCUUUGUUGGCGCUGGAGGAGUCAAGGAAGGUGAGAAGCAUGUGAAUGCUAGAUCCAGUCACGGUGUUAACUUCGGCAAAGACGGCUAUUUCAAAAUUUGCUUCCAGCACGUGAUAAUCUGCCUCACCCGUGGACACCACAUGAGGUAUCUUGAAGACCCGGUUCUUCUUCCUUGCAGAUUUGUAUACCCAGAGCUCCUAUCUCUAGAAAAGGACAAAGAGAAGAGAAGAGACGACACGAUAUAGAUCUCUUUCUUGGAGGGUGAUUUUGGCAGUGAAGCUGUAGCUAUGGCUCAUAAACUCUUUUAAUUAUUAGUAUGUUUUCCUACUGUCUGUUGACCUGAACAGCGCUUAGGGUUAUUAUGUGUGUUGGUGGAUCGUUCAUUGAUUUAACAAAGGUGUCUCACCGGUUAAGGAAGAACAAGAUCAGCUGUCCAGAACAAUUGCAUCAGCGAGUCACAGCAGUAACCUGUUUCUUCAUCAAGCCUGAGACGGCACAUUAAGGCUUGUGGAAGGACAAGGUGCACCCACGGUUGUUUCCAGCUGUACACACCAUGAGCAUGAGCGUCACAGUCAAGGUAACCACAAAACUUAGUUUGGUAGCCAUUUUCUCUGAAGAUUGAUAUGCUUGAGAUUUGUUUGUGUUUGGUGAUAACCGUAGAGAGUUUAGUUUAUAUAGAGACACUUGGGGCCUUGACUGUUACAUGCAAAUGGUAGAACGAAAAGGCUAAAGUAAUUACAUAGGAAACUCGUUAACUAGAGAACAUAGUGUCUGGAUUCAAGGGUUAACAACAUUACUAGGCUUGAACUUGAGGGACAAAGGCUGUGGUGAGGAGGCAAGAGCAUGUUCAUCACCAUUCUUGUGGUCAGAGUCAUUGUCGUCAUCAGAGUAACCUUGGAGCACGUCACCUUCUUGAGGAGUGAAACCAAGAAGAGCACCAAUCAUAGUAGACCAGCACUUGAGAGAGUCCAACGGUUCUGUAACACCCAGGUCCAGUGUAAUAAGUCUCACCGGUUAAGGAAGAACAAGAUCAGCUCUCCAACAGUGUUGAAGCUGCAUCAGUGAGUCCCAGCAGUAACCUGUUUCUUCUUCAUCAGCGGUAGACAACAACGUAUAAUACUAAAUCUUUUAUAAUGAUUCAAAGUCUCAGACUUCAGACUAUAGUCUCUUAAGCUUCAGCAUCAGCUUCACCCUCUCAACUGCAUCCCUCGUGUUUCUUAACCUGAAUGUUCUUCUCUUCAUCCAUGAAAGUACAACAUACACACUUUCAACCAGAAAAUGCCCCUGAAAGCACAAAACACAUCCAGAAAAAUUCAAUUAUAUAUAUGACAUUCAAGCACAAAACAGAACAGACUGACUACGUUACAGACAAGAAAACAGUAAAGUAAAACCCAUCAUCAAGUUAAGAAAAGAUGCAGAACACCAAUUCAUCAAACUAAAAACAAGACACAACAAUAGCAAGACUAAACAUUACAACAUUCUAAACGACACACACCAGUAGCAAGACUAUAAAUUACACUAAAUCGGUCC